rnacentral:rRNA from 1 species
AGAGUUUGAUCAUGGCUCAGGAUGAACGCUAGCGGCAGGCCUAACACAUGCAAGUCGAGGGGUAGGGGCUUUCGGGCCCUGAGACCGGCGCACGGGUGCGUAACGCGUAUGCAAUCUGCCUUACACUGGGGGAUAGCCCAGAGAAAUUUGGAUUAAUACCCCAUAGUAUUUUUUGUUGGCAUCAACAGAUUAUUAAAGUUUUUCGGUGUAAGAUGAGCAUGCGUCCCAUUAGCUAGUUGGUAUGGUAACGGCAUACCAAGGCAAUGAUGGGUAGGGGUCCUGAGAGGGAGAUCCCCCACACUGGUACUGAGACACGGACCAGACUCCUACGGGAGGCAGCAGUGAGGAAUAUUGGUCAAUGGGCGAGAGCCUGAACCAGCCAUGCCGCGUGCAGGAUGAAGCAUCUAUGGUGUGUAAACUGCUUUUGUACGGGAAGGAACCCCUCUACGUGUAGAGGCUUGACGGUACCGUAAGAAUAAGGAUCGGCUAACUCCGUGCCAGCAGCCGCGGUAAUACGGAGGAUCCAAGCGUUAUCCGGAAUCAUUGGGUUUAAAGGGUCCGUAGGCGGCUUUAUAAGUCAGUGGUGAAAUCUGGCGGCUCAACCGUCAAAUUGCCAUUGAUACUGUAGGGCUUGAAUGUUUGUGAAGUAACUAGAAUAUGUAGUGUAGCGGUGAAAUGCUUAGAUAUUACAUGGAAUACCCAUUGCGAAGGCAGGUUACUAACAAAUGAUUGACGCUGAUGGACGAAAGCGUGGGGGAGCGAACAGGAUUAGAUACCCUGGUAGUCCACGCCGUAAACGAUGGAUACUAGCUGUUUGGCAGCAAUGCUGAGUGGCUAAGCGAAAGUGAUAAGUAUCCCGCCUGGGGAGUACGGGCGCAGGCCUGAAACUCAAAUGAAUUGACGG